UACGUAGGGGGCGAGCGUUGUCCGGAUUUAUUGGGCGUAAAGGGCUCGUAGGCGGUUUGUUGCGUCAGUAGUGAAAACUCGGGGCUUAACUCCGAGCCUGCGUCUGAUACGGGCAGGCUAGAGUGAUGUAGGGGAGACUGGAAUUCCUGGUGUAGCGGUGAAAUGCGCAGAUAUCAGGAGGAACACCGAUGGCGAAGGCAGGUCUCUGGGCAUUAACUGACGCUGAGGAGCGAAAGCAUGGGGAGCGAACAGG
rnacentral:rRNA from 1 species